CUACAUAUUUUAGAGAAAAAGAGGAAUUCCUCAAAGUCUCCACCCCGCCUACUUUUAAGACUGACCCCAGAAGGCUCCAUGACAGCGUGAUUCUCAGGAUGGUUGAAAUUGAAGCCCUUGGGCUCAGUUUUUCUCUUUGUAUGUCUGAGGGGAAAGGACAGAAAUUCUAGACCCCACGUGUAUCUGAUAAGCACCCACUCUGUCCCUGUCACUGUUCCAGACACCUGGGAGAUGCUGUAGCAAACAGAGAUGGAGUCCCUGUGCUGUGGACCUGACACUCUAGUGAGGACGGCCUCUAGGUAGCGAGGUCACACAGAAAGUUUGGCAUGCAAACCUAGAACUCGGGGGAGAAAGAGCAACGUGAGAAUCAGCAGAGGAGGGCAUUUAAGCCAUAGGAUGUAAAGUAUCCAGGGAGAAGAGGAAGGUAAAGCAGAGACCAGGGCCUAGGCCUGUGUCCUGGAGCUCGAGCGUCGAAAGAUUAGGAAAAGGAAGGGGAACCAGGAAAAGAGACUGACAGGAAGCUACCCCUGAGCAAAAAUAAAAUUAAAUUAAAAUUAAAGCAAAUGACAACAACAACAAACCAAGUUCGGAUGCCCCGGAAGCCAAGCAAGAAAGAGUGAGUGACCUGUACUAACGAUGUCUAUUACCAUCCAGCCAGGUGUAGGAUGGGAACUAGGGAAUGACAUUUCAUCCGACCGUGUGAAACUCACUGGUGAAUACGGUAAGAACGGAGGAAGUAGAAACUGUCUAGAGAACUGUUUUUUAUUUUAAUUGAGAAAAUGGUUAGAUUUUUUUUUUUAGAUUACCCGUUUAAUUUUUUAUUAUUAUUAUUAUACUUUAAGUUUUAGGGUACAUGUGCACAACGUGCAGGUUAGUUACAUGUGUAGACAUGUGCCAUGUUGGUGUUCUGCACCCAGUAACUCGUCAUUUAACCUUAGGUAUACCUCCUAAUGCUAUCCCUCCCCCCUCCACCCACCCCACAACAGGCCCCGGUGUGUGACGUUCCCCUAACUGUUUUAAAAAGCCUUGCUGUGAAAAGGAAGACGGAAAUAAAGCAGUAACUGGCAUGGAAGGUCGCCCAAGGGGGGGACUUUUCCUAAGUAGGAGAGAGUCCGAAUGUUCGUGUGCUGUUUGAAAAGAUCCAAAACAGGAGGUGAAACCAAUGCUGCGGCAAGAGGGCAGACCUCGUCAGCGAGGGUGGCCCUUGCUCUGGAGGGGAGAGUGGACGACCUGGCACACAGCUGGAGGGAGCCUCCUGCCAGAGGAGCAGAGGCGGCUCACCCAACAAGGAGGGGCAAGGAGGGGCUUCAGUACUCGAAGCAGAUGCAGGGAUGAGCUGGCUCUGUGUCCACGGCUUCUGUUCUCUCAGCCAAAUAAGAAACCAGAUCAUCAGCUGGGAGUGGGGAUAAGGAGGGACUCUGUCAUUGAAAGGGGGGAACGGCAUGAGGCGGAGGUCCCAGAAGUGCCCAGUUGAAAGCCUUGGGUGUAACUUGGAGCAGAGCUGUCUCCCAGGCAGAUGAGGGGCCAGGGCAGGGAAAGCUUGGAGCUAAGCUGAGCUCUGGGUUUUUCCAGGAGCCUUGAGGGUGUGUGCAAAGGCAUGCUGAGAGUGCGGCGCCUUGCACUCUACGCCGUGUGGGUGUGGGGGUGUCAGUGUGCAGGAGUCAGGAGGAGCAGGGGCAGUAAGUAGGCUGCCGGGGUGGGCCAUGGGGGCCAGGAAUGGACAAUGAUGAAAUCACUGGUGAUGGCAAGUCUAAGGAGUCACCGUGCAAAGCAAGGACUGGCAGGAGGUGGGUGGAAACGCCUGUAAGUGCAGAAUCGUCCGUGUGUGGAGAGGUCUUGCAGUUGCCAGGAAUGAUGCCAGGAGAAGAGGUGAAGAAGCUGACCAUGGGAAUCUACGGUGACUGCAAGGGGAGCCAGGCCUUCGGUAGGAAACUGUAGGGAACGGUAACAUUCACUACAGGAGAAUGGUAUAGUCUGAGGGGUGCAAUUCAAAGGAGAUGCCAUGGGCCUUCCAGGUUACAAGCAGAGUAAAAUUAAAUAAUAAUGGAGCCAGUGGUUUUAGAGGGAAGGGAUGUUUCCAACUUGUAUACCCCAAGGUUUCUCAAGCUCUGCGCUAUAAUUUAAGCCCUAGAAACAUACAGGCCGCACGCAGAUCUUUCCAAACAGCAUGCACCUGGGCCGCAGGCUGGCCGCACCAUUUCCUUGAAGUCACCAGAACGGCAACAUCUAGAACAAAUAACCUCCUCUGGGAAGGUUCAUUUCUCCACGGUUAACCAUUGAUGGGCUGGCGUGAUCCCUUUAAACAUGGGUCGCCAGAACUCAAAGCCCACAAUCAAGGGUUUAUCUAGGAGAUAGUAUUCCACAGCACCUGCUCAAAAAGGACAGAUUGCCUGGAGCGCUACAGGCUAGCAAGGUAAACUUACGAGUGGGUGGCCUCCUUCAACAAAGAAACUGCACUUCUGCCCUUCUUAAUGCCUGGAGUUAAUUCCAUCCUCAGAUUUCAUUUGAACUCACAA
rnacentral:lncRNA from 1 species